rnacentral:rRNA from 1 species
UACAGAGGUCCCAAGCGUUGUUCGGAUUCAUUGGGCGUAAAGGGUGUGUAGGUGGCGCGCUAAGUCGGGUGUGAAAUUUCGGAGCUUAACUCCGAAACUGCAUUCGAUACUGGCGUGCUUGAGGACUGGAGAGGAGACUGGAAUUCAUGGUGUAGCAGUGAAAUGCGUAGAGAUCAUGAGGAAGACCAGUGGCGAAGGCGGCUUCCUGGCCUGUUCUUGACGCUGAGGCGCGAAAGCUAGGGGAGCAAACGGG